GGUGCUGUGGCUUAGUUGGCUAAAGUGCCUGUCUAGUAAACAGGAGAUCCUGGAUUCAAAUCCUUUGUGGUUCCU